AUGGAGUGAAGGUGUGGGUUUGGGGGGGUGAGCGGAGGAGGCGUGGAAGGCUCAGUGUGUCAGUAAGGCACUCAGCUGGCCGGCACUGUAGAGAGAACGUGUGCGGAGCCUCCCUCAGUGCCUCUCCAGCUGCCUCUUCCCGCGUGGACUAGUGAAGGUGUUUGCAGUGAACGAACAAGCGCACGAAGACCAGCAAAUACAUACACACACGCAUACACAUACAUACAUACAUACACACACACACACACACACACAUACAUACAUCAUCUCCGGAUUGCCAGGCACAUCAUCUGUCUCGUCCACGUGCUGCGAGGAUCACAGGCUCCCGGCGUCCACCGCGCCCGUGACUGAG